UCUCUCCCCUGUGAGAAACCAGCCACCAUGUUGUAAGCAGCCCUGUGGCGAGACCCACAUGAGGAAGACCAGGGCUUGCCAACAUCCUCUGAAUGCACGUGGAAACAGAUCUCUGUCCCUCCCCUCAAGGCCCAGCUGUGCAUCCAAAUGAGAUCACAGCCUUUGUUGACAGCUUGACAGUCUCCUCAUGAGCCAGAGAAAUCAGCUAGGGGAAUGUAAAGAUUGUGGAUGGUCAUCCUUGACCUCGUGGACAAAGGCCAUACCUUAAGGAUGACAAAGAAAAAAGCAUGGAAGGAGCCUGUGUGCCCGACACUAUUGGCCUGCCCCUCAGGACUGGGGACCACCUUGAAUGUUGAGUAAAAUCAGGGAGACAAGGAGAAAAGAAUGAGUGUUAGAAGCAAUUUGCUGGAUGCUUCGACAAAAGCAGCAACAUGAACCCAAUUAAAAAGAAAAAG
rnacentral:lncRNA from 10 species